UUACCUUCGAAUUGGAAUGUGAAACAAGAAAUUUUGUAACUGAGAUUGGAAUUAAAUUAUCGUUUCAUGCUUACAUCUGCCACGUCACCGUGAACGGAGGCAGAAAUAUAAUUAAAGAAUCCAAUGUCCUCGUAACUUCUGAUGGUAAAGACACUUAUGUUUCUAACGAAGAGUACCAAGUGGUAUUUGAUGACUACGAAGACGACGAUAAGUGCCUGAUUGUUGCGAAGCCUGGACAAAGCAUCGCUUGCAAAUCGACAUUCAAAUGGCCACGUGUGGUUUACCAAAUCCUUAUUUAUACCAGCGGAAAGACAGGUAGCGUCAUGAAAGAUUUUAAGGUGGAGCUUUUGAACGACGACUAUGAUGUCGUAUUUUCGGAGACUUUUCAUAAUUUCUCAACUUUCUACAAAAUCAACGUCCCCUACAGUGGUCUAGUGUUGGGCAUUGUUUUGAACGCAAGCGAUGUGCUAACACUAUGUGAAAUACAGGUUUUCGGCGAGUGCGGUAAAAGAAGAUACGGUAUAGAUUGUAGCGAAGUAUGUAGCAUCACAUGUUCUGACCAAGAUUGUCAGUUUACUGGGGUUUGUAAGAAAUGUGUACGUAACAGAAUUGGGGAAUACUG